rnacentral:rRNA from 1 species
AUGGGAGCAAUAAUAAUCAUUCGCACACUUUCUGAUUACUUGUACCUACAAAGUGCUGGGCUAUCAACUCAUUCAUGGGAAGACGUGCAGAAAGUGCUUGAAGAAGUAGAAUAUUACCAAAUCAAUCCACUUGAGCUUGGAACUUUUCUUCGGUCAGUGUUGGCCAAAAAAUUUGCUUGGCUGUAUUCCCCGCUUGUAUUCCACAAGUUGAACGUUUCUUCAGCUAGCCACUUGAAUUCAACAAGUUGCAGGAUUAUCACACUGAAUUCAACAAGUUGCAGCCACUGCCUCAUAUUCCCUCGGACACAGGGCUUCCAACAAUACUUGGUGUCCAGGAUUUGUAUUAACCCCGAUUCCAACACUGAAACCUUUAUUACUAAAAUAAAGUCAAUACAAAUUCAGCAUGGAAUUUUCCCAAGGAUAGUUGCAUUGCCGCCCCACCACUUGAGCUAA